GGGGGCGAAACGGCUUCGACGGGGAUAAAGAAGCAACGGUUGCAUGCCGAGACCUCACCUUCUCGUAAAACGGUGGGAAAAACAUAGUCGCAGACGAUUAUGCAUACGCCGUAGCCGCUUAGUCGGCUACCGUUCUGUCGGAUUUUCUCUGCGAAUCCGAUAAGGGCGUCGACUUUGCAGGGAUGCUGUUUCUGACCGCCUGCAUCAGAAACGGCGAGAACCAUGCAGGAUAGUCUUUCAAAUAUCGAGUUCGGAGGAGAUUUGAAAAGGCGAAUGCUAAAAUCCGAGCUAAGUAUGUAGAUGCCGGUGUGGAAUAUUUCCGGACGCGGGUUCAACUCCCGCCGCCUCCACCA
rnacentral:tmRNA from 1 species